GACGAACGCUGGCGGCGUGCUUAACACAUGCAAGUCGAACGGAAAGGCCCUGCUUGCAGGGUACUCGAGUGGCGAACGGGUGAGUAACACGUGGGUGAUCUGCCCUGCACUUCGGGAUAAGCCUGGGAAACUGGGUCUAAUACCGGAUAGGAGCCAUUUUUAGUGUGAUGGUUGGAAAGUUUUUUCGGUGUAGGAUGAGCUCGCGGCCUAUCAGCUUGUUGGUGGGGUAAUGGCCUACCAAGGCGGCGACGGGUAGCCGGCCUGAGAGGGUGGACGGCCACAUUGGGACUAAGAUACGGCCCAGACUCCUACGGGAGGCAGCAGUGGGGAAUAUUGCACAAUGGGCGCAAGCCUGAUGCAGCGACGCCGCGUGGGGGAUGACGGCCUUCGGGUUGUAAACUCCUUUCGCUAGGGACGAAGCUCUUGUGACGGUACCUAGAUAAGAAGCACCGGCUAACUACGUG
rnacentral:rRNA from 1 species